UUCUUAGCACCAGGUUUUCCCCUUCUGUACGUGUUUGUCUUAAAGACUAAUAAUUGAAAACUGAUGUACAAGUUUUCUGACUACAUACUGUAUAGUAUAUUUUGAGGGCUUUCAUAAACAUUGGCAUCUUUUGUACUUGAUUUGUAUUGUUAUUUAAACCAUGCAUCAAGUCAAACUUUUUUUUUCUUCAUUUUAUUCAAGUGUACAUGUUUAAUAUUAUUUGAUUAAAGAUUUUGACUUUG
rnacentral:sRNA from 1 species